UAGCAUCGUAGCCACGACGCGCGGCAGC
rnacentral:sRNA from 1 species